GAAGAAGCGCCCCGAUGAUCGGCGCCGUCCGCUUCGGUUGUCUCGGAGCGACAGUCGGCUUCGGCCCCCGGCGCUGCGGGCUAGGUAAGGGCCGGCCCCUCCAUGGCCCGGGCCGCCGCCGGGAUCGUCGCCGGGCUGUCGGCCGCGCUCCUGGCCUGCUGGCUGCAGCGGAGCCAAGUUAUAGAGAGAUCAUUUUCACUUCAUAAAACACAUUCCGUAAAGGAUAUGGAGAAUAUUUUUCAAUUGGUGAGAAAUGUCAUUCCUCCUCUGACUACCAAAAAACAUAAAGGUCAAGAUGGAAGGAUAGGCAUAGUUGGAGGAUGCCAAGAGUAUACGGGGGCACCGUACUUCGCAGCAAUUUCGGCUCUUAAAGCGGGGGCAGAUUUAUCUCAUGUCUUCUGCAGCAAAGAUGCAGCAACUGUGAUUAAGUCUUACAGCCCGGAGCUGAUCGUCCAUCCCAUCCUUGACAGCCCCGAUGCUGUUCAUGAAGUGGAAAAAUGGUUACCGAGGUUGCACGCCAUUGUCAUAGGACCUGGUUUAGGGAGAGAUGAUGUUCUACUAGGGAAUGCCAAGGGCAUCAUAGAAAAGGCAAAGGCCAAGGGUAUUCCUAUCGUCAUCGAUGCAGAUGGAUUGUGGCUCGUUACUCAACACCCAUCCCUCAUCCAGGGCUAUCAGAGAGCAAUCUUGACGCCAAACUUUAUGGAGUUUAGCAGACUUUAUGAAAGCGUGGUUAAAGAUCCCGUAGACGGUGACGAUCACCACGGAUGCGUGUUAAGACUCAGCCGAGCCUUUGGAAACCUGACAAUUGUCCAGAAAGGAGAGAGAGAUCUUCUUUCAGAUGGUCAAAAGGUCCUCGUAUGCAGUCACGAAGGGAGCAAUCGGCGUUGCGGGGGCCAAGGAGACCUCCUGGCGGGUUCUCUGGGCGUCUUCGCCCACUGGGCCUUCCUUGCCGGGCCGGAAAAAACCAACGGUCAGAAUCCUUUCCUGGUGGCCGCCUUCGGAGCCUGCUCUCUGACGAGGCAGUGUAACAGCCAGGCCUUCCAGAAACACGGGCGCUCCAUGACCGCCACCGACAUGAUCGCCCAAAUCGGGACAGCCUUCAACAAACUCUUUGAAACCUGAAGCUAAAAGGACGGAGGGGAAGAGAAGACAAAAGGCCCGGCCGCGGGAGGAACCGUGGACUCCGUACAAACGACGGGCCUCCUCUACGCCCUGCUCGUCAUCAAAGGAGCGUUUGGCAUUGCGUCGUCCCACAGCCGCAGUUACCUUCCACUCGGACGCUGUCUCGGAGAAUUUGGACAGAGUUUUUAUAUUUACUUGAAGUCUCUCGUGCAGCUUUCACCGGUGCAGGGACCUCGUCCGAUCAGUGGAGCGCACGCAUUUGCAGAGGAGAAAACGGCAACGGCAGCCUGGGUUCUGCGAGCCUGCCGCUUAGUGUUUGAUUAUUUGAUGCCUCGUGGAAUUCCUGUAGUCAUCUUACGGGGCAAGUUUGGUAACUUAAUAUGAGUUCCUUUGCACUUUUUAUCUUAUAAUUCCUUCCCGCAGAAAGCACAAAAGAGUAAGGUUCCUGGCAAAAUAAUCCCCCCUUUUUUUGGUCCCCUCUUGGGAACUAAUCUCAACCUUUUGGCUGCACUUGACUACUGCCUCACCCCCAAGCCAUCCGCCGGUUUUCUUUGAAGCUGGAAAUCAAUUUUCAAACUGGGUUUUUAAACACCUUGACACAAGCCUUAAUCAAGGUUCUACCUUUAUAAGCUUCCCGUUUAGCCUAUUUUAUGAACUUCUCUGGAGGAAAACAAAUGAUUUGCAUCUUGGGGUUUUUUUUUUAAAUGGUAUUUAAGCACUUACCAUGCGCCAGACACUCUACUAAGCACUGGGGUUGAUACAGGCUAAUCAGGAUGGACACCAUCCAUGUCCCAAAGGGGUUCACAGUCCCCAUUUUACAGACAAGUUAAUGGAGGCACAGAGAAGUGAAGUAACUUCCCCGAGGGCACACAGCAGACGUGGCAGAGCCGAAAUCAGAACCAAAGUAAUCUGAUUCCCGAGCCUGUGCUCUUUCCACUAGGUCACGCAGAUCCCUUGGCUCCUUCUAAUAUCCUUAAAGGUAAAACCUUGUUUAAACCAGCUGUUGCAUUUGGUUCAAAGUAGAUCUCUGUGUUUGUUUUUAAAUUAAAGCUGGGGGUCAAGCCAAAAUAAUCCCUUUGAUUUCUCAGAGUGAAAUUGCCAGGUAAUAAUGAUCAAUACAAGUUUCUAAUAUGCCUCGGUUUUACACGUAUUCCAAAGUUGUAAAUCCUCUUAUUCACCAUUGCAAACACCUUGUUCCAGUUGUGAUUUUAAAGACUAAAACUGGGAAAUAUAGCAGCUUCUUUCCCUAGGAAAAUAAAGUAUAGUGAAUCCAGUGAAAAA